rnacentral:rRNA from 1 species
GAGUGCCUACGGGACGCAGCAGUGGGGAAUAUUGCGCAGUGGGCGAAAGCCUGACGCAGCGACGCCGCGUGAGGGAUGAAGGUCUUCGGAUCGUAAACCUCUGUCAGCAGGGAAGAACGGUCACUGUGCUAAUCAGCAGUGAAUUGACGGUACCUGCAAAGGAAGCACCGGCUAACUCCGUGCCAGCAGCCGCGGUAAUACGGAGGGUGCGAGCGUUAAUCGGAAUUACUGGGCGUAAAGCGCUCGUAGGCGGUAUGUCACGUCAAGGGUGAAAUCCCCGCGCUCACCG